rnacentral:rRNA from 1 species
AUACGUAGGGUGCGAGCGUUGUCCGGAAUUACUGGGCGUAAAGAGCUCGUAGGUGGUUUGUCGCGUCGUCUGUGAAAUUCCGGGGCUUAACUCCGGGCGUGCAGGCGAUACGGGCAUAACUUGAGUACUGUAGGGGAGACUGGAAUUCCUGGUGUAGCGGUGAAAUGCGCAGAUAUCAGGAGGAACACCGGUGGCGAAGGCGGGUCUCUGGGCAGUAACUGACGCUGAGGAGCGAAAGCACGGGUAGCGAACAGGAUUAGAUACCCUGGUAGUCCAUGCCGUAAACGGUGGGCGCUAGGUGUAGGGGUCUUCCACGACUUCUGUGCCGUAGCUAACGCAUUAAGCGCCCCGCCUGGGGAGUACGGCCGCAAGGCUAAAACUUAAAGGAAUUGACGGGG